rnacentral:sRNA from 13 species
UUUCAUCUCUCCAUUUCAAUUACUUUUGCGAGAAUAAUAAUAGAAUGAGAC